rnacentral:lncRNA from 1 species
CCACUACUUCCUUUGAUAUUUGGGACAAACUUAAGGAUAAGUAUGAGACCAAAACUACUCCAAACAAAUGUUUUAUUUUAAAACAAUUCUUCUUUUUUAAAAUGAAUCUUGCAGUCGAUUUAGAAGAAAAUCUUAGUAGGUUUACAAAACUUACCCAAGACUUGGCCAAUUCUGAUGAAAAACUUUCAAAAGAUAAAUUGGUUGUAGUCCUGUUAAACUCCAUAAAUGACAAGUAUAAGGACAUUAAAAUUGUUGUUGAAUAUGGUAGAGAUGAACUCACUCUUGAUGUUAUAACCAAUGCUUUGAGAAAUAAAGUUUUAGAAAUCAAGGCCGAGCCAAGUAACAGUCACACUGGAACUAGUUUUGUAACUAAGGGAAAAUCUUUUGAAAAAUCUACACAAAACUUUAAGGUUUCAAAAGUAAAUAAGAGAUGGGCUGACAGGAGUAAGACCAAGAAUAAUGCAAAAGGUAAAAUAUGUUAUUAUUGUGGCAAACUUGGUCAUUUUGCAAAAGAUUGUUUUAAAAAGAAAAAUGAUUCAAAAGAAAAAGGUUUUGAUGGAAGCAAUGUAUUGGCCUAUGAUAAAAACAAAACAGAAAAUGAUUUUGUUUUAGUAAGUGCUGAAAAAUGUCUAAGUGAUGAGUGAAUAUUUGACUCAGGAUGCUCCUUUCAUAUAUGCCCCAACAAAAAUUAUUUUAUAAAUCUAGAAAAAACUAAAGGGGGCAGGUUAUAAUGGGCAAUAACUUUGCCUGUAAAGUGGGUGGAAUUGGAAUUGUCAAAUUAUUAUUAGAAAAUGGAAAUGUUUUGUUCUUUGAGAACACAAGACAUGUCCCAGAUUUGAAAAAGAACUUAGUAUCCUUAGGAAUGUUAGAUGACAAGGAGUUUAACAUAGUUAUGGAUCAAGGACAUAUAAAAAUUCUUAGGGGAAAUGACUUGGUCACUUCAGCCCCUAAGAGACAUGGUCUUUAUUGCCCUGCAAAACCUUUGCUUGGAUUAACUGCUUCUAUCAUAUCUGAAAAAUUCACUUUGGCUAAAUUGUGGCAUGAAAGGCUUGGUCAUAUUGGUAAAAAGGGUUUGAAUAUUAUGCAAUCAAAAUGUGUUUUUGGAAAACAUAAUCUUGAUGAUUUUGGCUCAUGUGAACACUGUAUUUUGGAAAAGCAAGCUAAACUUUCUUUUCAAAGUGGAAUUCAUAAAUCCAAACAAAAACUUGAGUGUUUGCAUCCUGAUUUGUGGGGUCCUGCUUCUAUCUCUACUUUAACUGGUUUUAAAUAUUUUUUGCUAAUGGUUGAUGAUUUCUCAAGGAAAAUUUAGGUUCAUCUACUAAAGCCUAAAGAUGAGACAUUUUCUAUUUUUAAGGACUGGAAAACUCAAGUUGAAAAUCAGGUUGAUCUUAAAAUAAAAUAUUUAAGAACUGACAAUGGUUUGAAAUUUUGCAAUUAUGAAUUUGAUAAUCUUUGUAAGGAAUAUGACAUCAUGAGACACAAAACUGUUCCACACAACACAAAACUGUUCCAUACACACCACAACAAAAUGGAAUGAUUGAAAUAAUGAAUGGAGCUGUGUUGAAUAAAGUUAGAUGCAUGCUAUUAAGUUCUGGACUGCCUAAGAUGUUUUAGGGUGAAGCAAUGAAACUGCAGCUUAUCUGAUUAAUAGGAGUCCUGCUAGUGCUUUAAACUUUGUUGUUCCUGAAUAUGUGUGGUCAAAUAGUCGAGUAAAUUACUCUUAUCUGAAAGUAUUUGGCUGUGCUGCUUAUGCUCAUCAAAAUGUUGGUAAAUUAGAACUAAGAUCAUUAAAAUGUGUCUUCUUGGGUUAUGAUGAACAUGUUAAAGGGUACAGAUUAUGAGUUAAAUCUGAGAAAGGCUAUAGAGUAAUAAUUAGAAAGGAUGUAGUCUUCAAUGAAUCCUGAAUGCCAUGUCUUGAAGGAAAAGAAAAUGCUUUAACUGAAAAAGAUGUUCAAAUUGAGGUGGAGCCUUCCUGCAGUAACCAGAAUAUUUCUGUGACUAUUACAGAAGAAAAUGAAAAUGAAGAACAUGUUAUUUUACCUGAAACUGAAAUUGAAACUGAACAUGUUGAAGAGACUGAUUCUGCAGCUCUUCCCUUUGAUGAGUAUCAACUCACAAGAGAUAGAGAGAGGAGACCCUCCACCAGAUUUGAUAGUAACACCUUUGUAUCUUUCUUUACCUACCAAGACCUCAAUGAAAAUGAGCCAAACUCCUUUGAAGAAGCCAUGAAAUGUAAAGAAAGAAAAAAUUGGAAGAUGGCAAUGGAAGAUGAAAUGUCUUCACUUCUUAAAAAUAAAACAUGAAUAUUAGUUGAUAAGCCAAAAGGACAAAAAUUAAUUGAUUGCAAGUGGAUUUAUAAGAUAAAAUCUGGGGAAGGUGACAAUAAGAAUGUUAGAUAUAAAGCUAGACUUGUAGCAAAGGGUUUCACACAAAAAGAAGGUGUAGAUUAUACUGAAAUUUUUUCUCCUAUUGCCAAGUAUGUUACCAUCAGAUGUUUGCUUGCACUUGUUACACAAUUUAAAUGAGAGCUUGAUCAGCUAGAUGUUAAAACUGUUUUUUUGUAUGGGGAAUUAGAUGAAAUAAUAUACAUGAAAUAACCUGUUGGAUUUGAGAAGGGUGAUCCUGAAAACACUGUUUGUUUGUUAAAGAAAUCCUUGUAUGGCCUAAAGCAGGCACCUAGGCAGUGGUACAAAAGAUUUGACACUUUUGUCUUAAAACUUGGAUUUAAAAGAAGCCAAUAUGAUACUUGCUUGUACUGUAAAGGUAGUGGAGUUUAAAACUCAUUAUAUCUAGUCCUUUAUGUAAAUGAUAUGUUGUUGGCUAGUUCUGAUAAAUCAAAAAUUGAUUAUAUUAAAUCAAAGUUAAGUUCUGAGUUUGAUAUAAAAGACCUCGGUGCUGCUAAAAGAAUAUUGGGCAUUCAGAUCUGGAGAAACAAGGAUAAAUAUAUGUUGUUUCUAAAUCAAUGUGAUUAUGUGUCUAAAAUCUUGAAAAAAUUCAACAUUUAUGAUUGUAAGCUUGUAACACUGCCUCUUGCUAGUCAUUUUAUGUUGUCUUCUGAACUUUGCCCUAAAUCUGAAGAUGAAUAUGCCAGAUUGUCAAAAAUUCCAUAUGUUAUGUAAUUGGUUCUGUGAUGUAUUUGAUGAUAUGCACCAGACCUGAUCUUGUAUAUAAUAUUAGCAUUUUAAGUAGAUUUAUGAGUAAUCCCGGUGAAGGACACUGGCAUGCUUUGAAAUGGUUAUUGAGGUAUCUUAAGGGAUCAUCAAAUUUAGGCUUAAUGUUUAAAUUAGAUAAAAAUGGAAUAAAUUUGAAAGGGUAUACUGAUUCCGAUUUUGCUGGCAAUAGAGAUAAUAGAAAAUCAACAUCAUCUUAUUUUUAUACACUAUGUGGUACUGCCAUCAGUUGGAAAUCUCAACUUCAGAAAGUUGUGACUCUGUCAUCAAUUGAGGCAGAGUAUAUAGCUGUAACUGAUGCUGUUAAAGAAGGGAUUUGGUUGAAUGAUUUAUUGUUUGAAAUGAGUUUUGAUGAUAAUCACAUUAUGCUGUUUUCUGAUAACCAAAGUGCUAUUCACCUAAGUAAAAAUCCUAUGUUUCAUGAUAGAUCGAAACAUAUUGAUGUCAAAUAUCAUUUUAUAAGAGAUAUAAUUUCAAAAGGUGAAAUUAAGAUUGAAAAGGUUCCUACUCAAUUUAAUCCAUCUGAUAUGGGUACAAAAGUAAUUCCUUUAAACAAAUUUUUAAACUAUUUGAAACUUUUAUCUGUUGAUUCUUUGUGAUUCAUGUACAGGUACUUGAAGCAAAUGAAAAAGACAUAAGAUCAUGCUCCUGACUGCACUAAUAGUUCAAAUUCUGGCAGCAAUGUGGAGAUUGUUGGAAUCGAACCCUGUUCUCUUCAAUUGGUGCUUUCAGAAUUUGACUUGUGACAAAAAUGUGUUUAUAUGAAACACGACUUAAUAAGUGGUGACAACUUAUUGGAUGGCCAACACGUGGACUAACUCUGGACAUUGGAUGGAGCCGGUUCAUCUGUCCUUCGUUAAAAAUUCGGAGCCUUCUGGAACGUCUGACUUUCACUUUCAUUUUUACUGUCUCUAGGGUUUUCAGAGAGAAAAAUUGGCCGUCUGAGAGAUGAUUAUUUCCUUGAGUGGUUCAUGCUUAAAAUCUCUGAUUUUAUGUAUAGUAAAGUGACAUCUUCCUUCGAUCUGUAAUAUUCUGUAUGAAUAGUGAAGAAAUUUGAGUGAUUUCUAUGUUGUAACCUUGUGGUGGUGUUCAAAGGGUUUGGGGGCUGAGAUCUGAGUGAAUCUCUGUAGAUCCAUCACUGUACUUGAGAUAUAAGUUUCAUUUUCAUCUCUCUGAACAAUCUGUAACUUUUGUUGCCAUUUUGGGCUGUUUAGUGCAACCGAGCAUAAUCCAAAUCUUUGGAUGCUCAACGGGGGAUGUAGGCGUUAGAAGUGAUCGUCGAACCUCCGGGGUUUAGGCCUAAAUAAUUCCUUUGUGUUCAUUUUAAUUUCUUG